rnacentral:ncRNA from 1 species
UAUCUUUGCACCCGAAUUGAAAAAUCAAUUCAUACAUAAUAAUCAUUUAAAAUAAUAUUAGCAUG